GCGAACGGGUGAGUAACGCGUAGGUAACCUGCCUUGUAGCGGGGGAUAACUAUUGGAAACGAUAGCUAAUACCGCAUAACAAUGGAUGACACAUGUCAUUUAUUUGAAAGGGGCAAUUGCUCCACUACAAGAUGGACCUGCGUUGUAUUAGCUAGUAGGUGAGGUAAUGGCUCACCUAGGCGACGAUACAUAGCCGACCUGAGAGGGUGAUCGGCCACACUGGGACUGAGACACGGCCCAGACUCCUACGGGAGGCAGCAGUAGGGAAUCUUCCGCAAUGGGCGAAAGCCUGACGGAGCAAGACCGCGUGGGGGAAGAAGGCUCUUGGGUUGUAAACUUCUGUCGUAAGGGACGAUAAUGA
rnacentral:rRNA from 1 species